rnacentral:rRNA from 1 species
GACGAAGGGGGCUAGCGUUGUUCGGAAUUACUGGGCGUAAAGCGCGUGUAGGCGGUUGUUCAAGUCAGGUGUGAAAGCCUUGAGCUCAACUCAAGAAAUGCACUUGAUACUGGAUGACUAGAGGACCGGAGAGGAUAGUGGAAUUCCCAGUGUAGUGGUGAAAUACGUAGAGAUUGGGAAGAACACCAGUGGCGAAGGCGGCUAUCUGGACGGUUUCUGACGCUAAGGCGCGAAAGCCAGGGGAGCGAACGGG